CCUACGGGAGGCAGCAGUAGGGAAUUUUGCGCAAUGGGCGAAAGCCUGAAGCAGCAAAACCGCGUGAAUGUUUAGCCCUCUGCGGUGUAUAGUUCUGUCAAUAGGGACGAAUUUUGACUGUACCUAUCAAGGUAGGACCGGCUAACUCCGUGCCAGCAGCGGCGGUCAUCCGGGAGGCGCAAGCGUUGUCCGGAAUCAUUGGGCGUAAAUCGUUGCUAGGUGGGUAGGUAAGUCUGAUGUUAAAGCUCCGGGGUCAACUCCGGUUCGGCAUUGGAUACUAUCUAGCUUGAAUGUGGUAGAGGUAGAGGGAAUGCCUGGUGUAGCGGUGAAAUGCGUAGAUAUCAGGAAGAACAUCGAUGGCGAAAGCGCUUUACUGGAGCAUUAUUGACGCUGAGGAACGAAAGCGAGGGGAGCGAAUGGGAUUAGAUACCCUAGUAGUC
rnacentral:rRNA from 1 species